AGCCUGAGCCAUGACCUGCAACACCGCCACAAGUGCUUUUCCUGCAGCCCUGCCACAUAGACUGAAGACCAGGGGGCUGCUGUAUGAAGGCUCAGGUCUCAAAGCAAAGCUCAGCCUCCAGCACGGACCUCUCAGAUAACAGCAGUAAAGUUCAACCCCAGGAAACACCUGGAACUCUGUGCUGCACCUCUACACACAAAACACGCUACCGCAGACAUCGCUCAAGUACCACUGCCCUAAUUCUCAGUGCCAGUGACCUACAUCUAAAGAACCCGAAUGGCCCUUCUCAGCUUCUCCCUGGGCAAAGCAAUGCUUUAUGUACUUCCUGAUGUACGCUGAGCUUUAGGACACCACCUAGGAGGUACAAAAGACAAUUUGGAGGCAAUCCUGAGGGCUUUCUCAAACCCAGACUGUUUUGAGUUUGCAUUUAUGGUAGACAUGUUCACAGACUAACAUUCGUCAGCCUGUAUUUUACUGGUUUUGGUGCCAAACACUUAAGAUUCUCAAAGAAAAAUCAGCACUGUUCUGAAGAGACUUAAACCUCUACGCAUUUAGAAGCAAUGGGAUCCCUACUGCUUGAGUUUUUUUUUGCCAGCACCAAAUUUAGACAGGCCAAAGAACCGUAACAGAAGAGCUGACAGGCAGCACAAUCCCCCAAGGCUUCUUACAGCCGCUCACCACUGCGAGACGCGACAGCAACAGGUGAGGGAUGUUUGUAAGGCAGAAACGCUCAUUGCUGACACAAGAAUGCAAGAAGGACAAGGUCAGGAAGGACAGAAAAGCACUGCCAGCCAGCCAAGACAGUUCUGCUACAAUGGACUUCACAGGCUACGGCAAAGAAGGAAAUUUCAUUUUAUUCUUCAACGGCCGAUCAAUCUGAAUUUCCUUUUACGUGGAUUCAGCCUCUGAAAUUGUGCUCUUUCCAUUUCAUGCACUCAAUUCUUUAUUUAGCAGAACUGACUUCGAGAGUUCUAUGCCCCCUUCUUGAGCCUAAUGGCCUACAGUUGCAAAUACUUUAUAGGAAAUAGCCAAGAUGUGAUGCACAGCAGAAAACAAGAAGCCAAACAUCCCUUACAUGGGUGUAUUUUAAAUCCCUAGGAUGCUGUUCUAAAAACCUUUCUUCCUCAAAAUGGCUCAGAACAAAGAGCUGCUGCUCCGCCGGGACGGCUUCAGAAAGUUCCUCUGCUGCUCUCCAGAAGCUGCUGUGACAGAGCAGAGAUUAACACUCACCAGCACCCAGACGCCAAGGCGCUGCUGCUGUUAGCAGCACGGAGCCCUCCCAGCCCUCCCCACUGCCUGAUCAGUGACACUGAUGUUACACAGAACCACCUCCGGCAGCAGCAGCCUGGCUGAAGUGCAGGGUUCUCAGCAGAGAGCACCCCCAGAUCUGUCUGCAAUUGCUUUGGAAGGGAUGUAAAGGCAUUAAUACAAACUAAUCUUCCUUUUCA